AUGAACAGAGUAACAAAUCUCUGGCCAAGAGAGUUUUUCAAUCUCUUCAAUAUCAAUGAGAACUUUUCUCCAUACACAAUGAAGACGUGUUCUGGGGUAACAGAGACUUCAGGCAGGAGAGCCGUCAACUUCAUGGUGGAGUCUAUAGAUUUAUCUAUAGAUGUGUCAGAGUGUGAUAUGAUGCCAGACGAUAUGAUGGAGAUUCCCUCCCCCGACAUUGUGUAUCAUCAUCCCCAUCUGCAACCAGUUAUAGACAAAAUUCCAGCUGUGGACCCAGACGCUCCCAUCCUCCUGCUCUUAGGACGAGACAUCUUAAGGGUACACAAGGUACGAGAGCAAAUCAAUGGGCCCCACGACACUCCUCAUGCACAGCGACUCGACCUCGGGUGGGUCAUCGUGGGUGAGGUCUGUCUGGGAACGGCUCACCGACCAGCCAAUGUUAACGUGUUCAGGACAAACAUACUUCAAAAUGGUCGCACAUCCUAUCUGAGCCCUUGCCCUGACAUCAUCCAGGUAAAAGAGAACUACAGCAGCGUAGCUCAGAAACACAUCUCUCCCUCUACAGUGCACUCGAGAGAUCCAAGCACAACUGUGAACACAGACAGCCUGGGAUGUUCCGUGUUCGACAAAACACAAGACGAUGAUAAACCAGCACCAUCAGUGGAGGACAAAGCCUUCUUGGACAUUAUGGACAAACAGGUUUUCCAGGAUGAUGGAAACAACUGGGUGGCUCCACUACCCUUUCGCCCCACUAGACGUCACCUCCCUAAUAACAGGGAGCAGGCCAUGAACCGUCUCACAUCACUUCGCAGGACUUUAGACAAAAAGCCUGACAUGAAGCGUCAUUUUAAUGACUUCAUGCAAAAGAUGCUGGAUAACGACCAAGCCGAACCUUCACCGCCACUAGAGGGAGACAAAGAACGUUGGUAUCUGCCCAUAUUUGGUGUAUUUGGUGUUUACCAUCCACAAAAGCCUGAACAAAUAAAAGUAGUAUUUGACUCCAGUGCCAAGUGUCAAGGCGUGUCACUUAACCUGUUGCGUCGAGCAAUCCCGUAUCCGGGAGAAUAA
rnacentral:lncRNA from 1 species